UACGGGGGGGGUAAGCGUUGUUCGGAAUUACUGGGCGUAAAGGGCUCGUAGGCGGCCAACUAAGUCAGACGUGAAAUCCCUCAGCUUAACUGGGGAACUGCGUCUGAUACUGGAUGGCUUGGAUUUGGGAGAGGGACGCGGAAUUCCAGGUGUAGCGGUGAAAUGCGUAGAUAUCUGGAGGAACACCGGUGGCGAAGGCGGCGUCCUGGACCAACACUGACACUGAGGAGCGAAAGCCAGGGGAGCAAACGGG
rnacentral:rRNA from 1 species